AACGAACGCUGGCGGCAGGCCUAAAACUGGAAAGUGAACGAGGAAUUCCGGCCUAGCGGCGGACGGGGGAAGUACGGCGGGGGAAGUGGCCCUUUGCUUGGAAUAGCCCUUGGAAACUGGGGGGAAAAACGGGUGGAGCCCUUUGGGGGAAAGAUUUAUCGGCGAAGGAUCGGCCCGCGUUGGAUUAGGUAGUUGGUGGGGUAAUGGCCUACCAAGCCGACGAUCCAUAGCUGGUUUGAGAGGAUGAUCAGCCACACUGGGACUGAGACACGGCCCAGACUCCUACGGGAGGCAGCAGUGGGGAAUCUUAGACAAUGGGGGAAACCCUGAUCUAGCCAUGCCGCGUGAGCGAUGAAGGCCUUAGGGUUGUAAAGCUCUUUCAGCUGGGAAGAUAAUGACGGUACCAGCAGAAGAAGCCCCGGCUAACUCCGUG
rnacentral:rRNA from 1 species